GGCAAAUUGUGAGUAGAUACUCAAAAGAGGGGUUGAUAAUGGGCUGAUUUUCCUGUUUUCACAGAUUUGUUAUAUAAAUGAAUGUUACAUAUAGAAGAGUCAAAGUGAGAUGAAAAAUUGGAGCCAUUGAAAUGCCAGACAGGAUGAAUUCUUGUAGCUGCGUCAAGUAAUACCAAUAUCAUUAAAGCCAAUACUUGAAAGUCAAGGUUGCCAUCACCAAAAUCCAAGAAGCAAUGUCUUAAACAUAAGACAUGAAACCACAAGUCUCAGAAAACAUAGAGGAAAGUUCCUCAACCCUGCUCUCAGCUGAGAGGUUUUGAAAUUGAUACUAAAAGAACAGACAACAAAAGCAAAAAUAAACAGAAAGGGCUACAUCAAACUGAUGUUUCUGCAUAGCUUAAGAAAACGACAAAAUGAGAAGGCGGCCUACAGAACAAAUAAAAAUAUUUCAAGAAAAUAAAUGUCCAAGGAUUGUUUCAGACGUACAGAUUAGAGUGUGCUCCUGCCUGUGUGCUGAUUUGAUUGAUGAGUUGUCACAGUGAGGAGGAAUGAAUUAGAAAUGAAGCUGUCAUACCAAGCUCAUCAGGAUCAAAGGCAUUCCAGCCCUACUUACAGAAGUGUCCAGAGUGGAGUUCUCAGGGCAGCAGAAGGUGCAAACGAACAACAGAGAUGUCCCUGC